rnacentral:rRNA from 1 species
AACGAACGCUGGCGGCAGGCUUAACACAUGCAAGUCGAGCGCCCCGCAAGGGGAGCGGCAGACGGGCGAGUAACGCGUGGGAAUCUACCCAUCUCUACGGAAUAACGCAUGGAAACGUGUGCUAAUACCGUAUACGUCCUUCGGGAGAAAGAUUUAUCGGAGAUGGAUGAGCCCGCGUUGGAUUAGCUAGUUGGUGGGGUAAAGGCCUACCAAGGCGACGAUCCAUAGCUGGUCUGAGAGGAUGAUCAGCCACACUGGGACUGAGACACGGCCCAGACUCCUACGGGAGGCAGCAGUGGGGAAUAUUGGACAAUGGGCGCAAGCCUGAUCCAGCCAUGCCGCGUGAGUGAUGAGGGCCCUAGGGUUGUAAAGCUCUUUCACCGGUGAAGAUAAUGACGGUAACCGGAGAAGAAGCCCCGGCUAACUUCGUGCCAGCCGCCGCCGUAAAAC